rnacentral:rRNA from 1 species
GAUGAACGCUGGCGGCGUGCCUAAUACAUGCAAGUCGAGCGAACAGACGAGGAGCUUGCUCCUCUGACGUUAGCGGCGGACGGGUGAGUAACACGUGGAUAACCUACCUAUAAGACUGGGAUAACUUCGGGAAACCGGAGCUAAUACCGGAUAAUAUAUUGAACCGCAUGGUUCAAUAGUGAAAGACGGUUUUGCUGUCACUUAUAGAUGUAUCCGCGCCGCAUUAGCUAGUUGGUAAGGUAACGGCUUACCAAGGCAACGAUGCGUAGCCGAACUGAGAGGGUGAUCGGCCACACUGGAACUGAGACACGGUCCAGACUCCUACGGGAGGCAGCAGUAGGGAAUCUUCCGCAAUGGGCGAAAGCCUGACGGAGCAACGCCGCGUGAGUGAUGAAGGUCUUCGGAUCGUAAAACUCUGUUAUUAGGGAAGAACAAAUGUGUAAGUAACUAUGCACGUCUUGACGGUACCUAAUCAGAAAGCCCCGGCUAACUACGUG